rnacentral:rRNA from 1 species
GAACGCUGGCGGCGUGCCUAAUACAUGCAAGUCGAACGCACAGCGAAAGGUGCUUGCACCUUUCAAGUGAGUGGCGAACGGGUGAGUAACACGUGGACAACCUGCCUCAAGGCUGGGGAUAACAUUUGGAAACAGAUGCUAAUACCGAAUAAAACUUAGUGUCGCAUGACACAAAGUUAAAAGGCGCUUCGGCGUCACCUAGAGAUGGAUCCGCGGUGCAUUAGUUAGUUGGUGGGGUAAAGGCCUACCAAGACAAUGAUGCAUAGCCGAGUUGAGAGACUGAUCGGCCACAUUGGGACUGAGACACGGCCCAAACUCCUACGGGAGGCUGCAGUAGGGAAUCUUCCACAAUGGGCGAAAGCCUGAUGGAGCAACGCCGCGUGUGUGAUGAAGGCUUUCGGGUCGUAAAGCACUGUUGUAUGGGAAGAACAGCUAGAAUAGGAAAUGAUUUUAGUUUGACGGUACCAUACCAGAAAGGGACGGCUAAAUACGUGCCAGCAGCCGCGGUAAUACGUAUGUCCCGAGCGUUAUCCGGAUUUAUUGGGCGUAAAGCGAGCGCAGACGGUUUAUUAAGUCUGAUGUGAAAGCCCGGAGCUCAACUCCGGAAUGGCAUUGGAAACUGGUUAACUUGAGUGCAGUAGAGGUAAGUGGAACUCCAUGUGUAGCGGUGGAAUGCGUAGAUAUAUGGAAGAACACCAGUGGCGAAGGCGGCUUACUGGACUGCAACUGACGUUGAGGCUCGAAAGUGUGGGUAGCAAACAGGAUUAGAUACCCUGGUAGUCCACACCGUAAACGAUGAACACUAGGUGUUAGGAGGUUUCCGCCUCUUAGUGCCGAAGCUAACGCAUUAAGUGUUCCGCCUGGGGAGUACGACCGCAAGGUUGAAACUCAAAGGAAUUGACGGGGACCCGCACAAGCGGUGGAGCAUGUGGUUUAAUUCGAAGCAACGCGAAGAACCUUACCAGGUCUUGACAUCCUUUGAAGCUUUUAGAGAUAGAAGUGUUCUCUUCGGAGACAAAGUGACAGGUGGUGCAUGGUCGUCGUCAGCUCGUGUCGUGAGAUGUUGGGUUAAGUCCCGCAACGAGCGCAACCCUUAUUGUUAGUUGCCAGCAUUCAGAUGGGCACUCUAGCGAGACUGCCGGUGACAAACCGGAGGAAGGCGGGGACGACGUCAGAUCAUCAUGCCCCUUAUGACCUGGGCUACACACGUGCUACAAUGGCGUAUACAACGAGUUGCCAACCCGCGAGGGUGAGCUAAUCUCUUAAAGUACGUCUCAGUUCGGAUUGUAGUCUGCAACUCGACUACAUGAAGUCGGAAUCGCUAGUAAUCGCGGAUCAGCACGCCGCGGUGAAUACGUUCCCGGGUCUUGUACACACCGCCCGUCACACCAUGGGAGUUUGUAAUGCCCAAAGCCGGUGGCCUAACCUUUUAGGAAGGAGCCGUCUAAGGCAGGACAGAUGACUGGGGUGAA